AGAAACUUAGGUUAAACUAAACCAGGAGCCUUCAAAGCCCCAAACAGCGAGCCACCAUCUCCUAGUUUCUG
rnacentral:tRNA from 1 species